UGCAAACAUUAAGAUAUCCAUCAUUUGCAUGCACAACUUAGGGAUUCUUAAUGAAAUCAUUAACGAAUUUAUUCGUAGAGAAAAGCAAACAACAGUUGUAGUGAGAGGAGAGGAAGCUCAGCAGGAGGGGCUUCAGGGAGGGAAGCGUGAGCCUAAAUGUAGCUAGAUGUCACUCAACAUAAUCACACCUUGGAGUUUGCUGUAGUGCAGGGCCGGUGUUAUCUGCAGAUGAGCAUUCGAAGCCUGGAAACCUUUUAGAGGUGGAAAAGCUAUGCAGACGUAACAGGUAAGAGAUCCUCGUAUUUUGAACUUUGUUUGCUUUGUUCAGUUACCAUACAGAGUUUUAAAAUUAGAGUUUUGAAACUGCCAAAUCACGUUUACUCUAAUAUUUUACUAGUUUUGGCAAUCAACAUGCCAUGACAUGUAUUCAUAUAACUAAUAAUGAUAGAAAUGUAAUGUAGCAUUACUUAUUGGAUUUAACUAUCGGUCAGUUUAAAAACAGAGACUUUUUGUGUAGCCUACAUUUUUUUGGUUUGUAAGUUUUUCAUCAUGACAAACAAAAAUAUAUAUCUAUAAGCACAUCAGUCGCCUAGCCUGCUGUUUAUGUAUAUAGUGUGACUUCCCAAAUGCUUUAAAGACUAAAAGUGUGUGUUUUGCACUUUUUUAGUCUUUCAACUGGUUUAAUUCAUUAAAUUUUAAAGGAUGGAUAAAAAAUAGUUUUUAAGCCCCAGAACUUUUGGAAGUUAGAUCUUUCUGUCCUUUAAUGCUUUUCUGCUUUGGGUAAAUUAGUUUGUUGUGCUUUGGCUGAAAUGUUACCCAAGAACCAUUUAAACCAAAUAUAGGUCAGGCAAAUUGUAGGAUGAGAAUAGCAUACCAUACUUACAUAAAUCACCCCUAAAUCAGACAAACAAAUUCUAAUUUUAGCUUCAGGAAGUGGAUGGGUUUCACUCUAUUCGUUUUAAUAGAGCACUUCCUCGUCAGCUGGAGGGUUACCAUAGUGAUCCAGCCUAGAUUGAGUGCAGCAUGGUUUCUGUGGUAGCAUAAAACGAAGCGGUGAUGAUGUUUCGGUAUGUGUUGAGUUCAUAAAAUAAAAAAUAAAAAAAAUUACAGAGGAUGCCACUGCGGAAACAGAAAUGCGAUUUAACGUCUUCUCACUUUAAGAUAAAUUUUGUGAACUAAUUUUAACUAUACUGUUUUUUCUUGGAAUGUA
ensembl:lncRNA